UACGUAGGGUGCAAGCGUUAAUUCGGAAUUAGCUGGGCGUAAAGCGCACGUAGGCGGCUUUGUAAGUAAGAGGUGAAAGCCCAGAGCUCAACUCUGGAAUUGCCUUUUAGUACUGCAUCGCUUGAAUCAUGGAGAGGUCAGUGGAAUUCCGAGUGUAGAGGUGAAAUUCGUAGAUAUUCGGAAGAACACCAGUGCGAAGGCGGCUGACUGGACAUGUAUUGACGCUGAGGUGCGAAAGCGUGGGGAGCAAACAGG
rnacentral:rRNA from 1 species